UUUAAAUUUAAAUUUUUAAGUUAAAUAAUUAAAAGAUAUAAUCUUUAAAGUUAAAUAAUUUGGCGGUAUUUUAGUCUUUUCAGAGGAACCUGUUCUUUAAAUGAUAUUCCACGAUUUAACAAUCUUAAGUUAGAAGUUUAUAUAUCAUCGUUAUUAAAUAUUUUUUUAGAAUAAAAUAUUUAAAAAUUAUAAUUAUAUUUUAAUUCAGAUCAUGGUAUAGCUUAUAUUUAAGUAGUAAUGGGUUACAUUAAUUUUAAUUUUAGAUUUUAUUCUUAAAAUUUAAAUGAAAUUGGAUUUGAAAGUAAUUAUUUUUUUAGAAGUAAUGAUUAAGCUCUAAAAUAUGU
rnacentral:rRNA from 1 species